GGUGUUCACCAACACGGCGAAUCUUUCACUUCCUCUAAAACCGUUCGAGAUGUUGGCUCGAGUGCGCGAAAGCGGGAGAAUUAAAAGAGACCGCAGCGAUAUUCUCAGAUCGUUCGUUAUGAUCAUUCUCACAUGCACGACGGACUCUCGCAAGCGAUCUUACUCAAGAAAACGAUUUCACAGAGGCGGAUAGAAAAAUUCGUUGUACAAACGUGCGUCGUAUUGCGAAGAUUCGUCGAAUUCGGAAAGACCGUUAUCUCACUCUCUCUCUCUCUCACUCUCUCUCUUUCUCUCUCUCUUUCUCUCUUUCUCUCUCGUCUCGUAAUUUCGCCACGCUUCGAUUUGUCCUACCGACAAAUUGAUUCGCACCGUGUGUUUCUCGGUCACAGCGAGAAUGGGAAGUGACUUUUCGCCCACCCUGUAGACAGGAUUUCUCAGCGAUCGCUUUUCGAUCCGACUACAAAUUAUACAGUUAUCUAUGAGGGUUGAUAGAGUGACUAUUUAGGAGCUACAAAUAUAGUUACGAGCUUCGCGAUUCUCACGCUUGUUUGUUAUCCCGCGAAUUCUCCAGUUUCGCGAGUACAAUCACGGACGAAAGUAUCCGCGAAACGAAAGGUUCGAAUUAAUCGGCGGCUGUUCGAGCGUUUCGUCGAAAAACGCAAAUUUCUUGAAAUGAUUUCCGUCCUUGGUGAAAAUGAUAUCGGCUCGAAGCAGAAGGAUCGCAAUUUGUCGGGUACUUUCGCCGCGGACUGUACCUCUCCAAUGAUACGCUCGACGCAUUUUUACGUAUCUCACGGUCUCGUUGAGUAUCUUUAGCCGUUCCUCAGCUAUGGUACACUUUCCUCGUCGUUUCCCGCGAUCACUAUGCUCCUAAAGCCUGCGUUGCACAACUUCGAAUAUUGUUACACCGCUCGAGGAAUUGAUUCCGGGGGCUCUUUUUGCUCGCUGCCGAUUGUUAACGAUUUCGAUCGGUUCUUUAGCACAGCGAAAUCUCCUGUGACGUAACACAAUGGCGGCGAUCCAUUGUUUAUAAACAAUGUCUCUCGCGCGAACGAUUGUACGAUUGGUCUUGCUUUAUUUAUUCUCCAGCAUUUCGAUCGAUUUUGUUUCCAACUGUUUCACUGAACUUUCAGUUUUAUUAAAUUGCUGUUUAGAUACAUAACCUUAAAAUGAACUUUGAUCCGUGAACUUUGAUCCUUUCGCGUGUAAAAGUAAAGAUGGUAGUUAUUCUAGAUGAAACAUAUGCAGAAUUUCUUUUAGGUUUUACGUGUUAAAAUUAUUCCUCUUUUUGAAACUGUUCUUCGGCAACAUGAUCUCAAAAUUUUACGUUAUAACAGAGUUCUUUUACGUGAGAACGAAUAAUCUAGAGGAAACUCAAUCUAAAUGAAAAAUUUACACAGUUUCCGUUGCUUUUACAUGUUGAAAUUACUCAUUUGUGUAAAGUGUUUUCCAGCAACGUAACCUCAAAAUGUUGACCUUGCACCUCGAUUCGUUUACGCGAAAACGAAUAAUCUAGAUGAAACUCGCUUUCAAUGAAAAAAUGUGCAGAACUUCUGUCGGACUUGUCUAUUAAAAUUACUGCAUUUCGCGGAACUGUUCUUCGGCGACAUAACCUCGAAAUUUAGACCGUGAACUUCAGUUUGUCCACAUAAAAGCCAAGAAUUCUCGACGGAACGAAUCAAUUUUAUAAUUGCGUCAAAAUGAAUAAAACUUCUCUCUUAA